CAUUACCAUUCAUUAUGUGAAGCAUUGUCAAGCAAUGUUGGAGCAUGGAGUAUGUGAGCUUUCCUGCUUUCAUUUUCUUAGAAAUAAUAGUGGAUCUAAGAGGGGUGGAGGAUGUUAGAAUAACUAAUUGUUGACACUUCUCCUAUAUGGCUUAUCUGAUAGACUUGAAAUUUUGUACAAUAGGUCAAUGCCAUUUGCAGAUGUGCAUUUGUAGGGACAGGAGUAUGCAUUUGUUAUCCUUAAGUUAUCCAUCCUUAAAGUUAAGAGUGAAUCUGAGGGGUGGAGGGUGUAAAAUAUAGUUUGUGAACAUGUCUUCUAUGUGGCUUAUCAGAGUUCAUAAUGUCUAUGUUCCUGCUCGUGCUUUCUCCUCCAUACCAUGCAGUACAUUUAGGGGAAGAUUUCAUUUGGAGCAAUUAUUAUGGUUCCAAUUCAUUUUUCAUAUGAACAAUCUCUAAUUUGGAAAUGCAAUCCUACUAUUAAAUGUGUCUUAACGUAGUUGGAAGAUCUUAUUCAGAUAAUGCAGUGAAAGGCAGUUGACCAGUGGUUCCGUGUGUCCAGCUUGUUUAUUGGUUGUGACUUUGGGACAAAGAUGCGACUAUUAACUUGUAUCAAGGCUACAGCCAAUGAUAGCUGAGACAAUGGAACCCUGGGAGACGCCCUUCUUGCACUUAAAAGUAUUAUGAGUUUGUUUAUUGUCAAAUUUGUAAAGGUAAGUCCAUUAAAAUGUCGAAAAUGCCCUAAUUCAGUUAUAAAA